rnacentral:rRNA from 1 species
UACGUAGGGUGCGAGCGUUAAUCGGAAUUACUGGGCGUAAAGCGUGCGCAGGCGGUUUUGCAAGCCGGAUGUGAAAUCCCCGGGCUUAACCUGGGAAUGGCAUUUGGGACUGCAAGGCUGGAGUGCGGCAGAGGAGACUGGAAUUCCUGGUGUAGCAGUGAAAUGCGUAGAUAUCAGGAGGAAUACCGAUGGCGAAGGCAGGUCUCUGGGCUGACACUGACGCUCAUGCACGAAAGCGUGGGGAGCAAACAAGG